rnacentral:rRNA from 1 species
CGGACCAAGGAGUUUAGCGUGUGCGCGAGUCAUUGGGUGGAAAACCUAAAGGCGCAAUGAAAGUGAAGGGGGCCUCUGGCCCCCGAGGGAAGAUGGGCGUCCGUCCUUCGCAGGCGGCGCCCCGCACUCCCGGGGCGUCUCUUUCUCGUUACGAGUGGAGGCGCACCUGUAGCGCACUCGCUGAUACCCGAAAGAUGGUGAACUAUGCCUGGCCAGGACGAAGCCAGGGGAAACCCUGGUGGAGGUCCGCAGCGAUUCUGACGUGCAAAUCGAUCGUCGGAGCUGGGUAUAGGGGCGAAAGACCAAUCGAACCAUCUAGUAGCUGGUUCCUUCCGAA